rnacentral:rRNA from 1 species
UACGAAGGGGGCUAGCGUUGCUCGGAAUCACUGGGCGUAAAGCGCACGUAGGCGGAUCGUUAAGUCAGGGGUGAAAUCCUGGAGCUCAACUCCAGAACUGCCUUUGAUACUGGCGACCUUGAGUUCGGGAGAGGUGAGUGGAACUGCGAGUGUAGAGGUGAAAUUCGUAGAUAUUCGGCGGAACACCAGUGGCGAAGGCGACUCACUGGCCCGAUACUGACGCUGAGGCGCGAAAGCGUGGGGAGCAAACAGG